rnacentral:rRNA from 1 species
AACGAACGCUGGCGGCAGGCUUAACACAUGCAAGUCGAACGCAUCGCAAGAUGAGUGGCAGACGGGUGAGUAACGCGUGGGAAUCUACCCAUCUCUGCGGAAUAGCUCUGGGAAACUGGAAUUAAUACCGCAUACGCCCUACGGGGGAAAGAUUUAUCGGGGAUGGAUGAGCCCGCGUUGGAUUAGCGAGUUGGUGGGGUAAAGGCCUACCAAGGCGACGAUCCAUAGCGGGUCUGAGGGGAGGAUCAGCCACAUUGGGACUAGGACACGGCCCAAACUCCGACGGGAGGCAGCAGUGGGGAAUAUUGGACAAUGGGCGCAAGCCUGAUCCAGCCAUGCCGCGUGAGUGAUGCAGGCCUUAGUGUUGUAAAGCCCUUUCACCGAUGAAGAUAAUGACGGUAGUCGGAGAAGAAGCCCCGGCUAACUUCGUGCCAGCCGCCGCAGUAA